GUCCUCCCCAUAGCCCCCCCGCCCCUCCCCCAAAGUCACAGCCCCCUCCCUCUGCUCCUGUGGGCCCCAGGGGUUCAGCAGCUGGGUCUGAGACAGAAAAGUGGAGGACCUCCCAAGAGGGGCCGCCGGGAGAGGGAGCGGUGGGCACGCCCCCGCCACAGGGGGCACCUAAUUAUCACCGAGGCUGCGGAGCCUCCCUGGAGAGGCCGGGAGCCCAGAGCAGGCCGGGAAGGCCUGGCUUCUCUCACUGGACAGCUCCCUGCCCUGGGAGUUCCGGUUCUGACUUCCCGCUGGCUGACCCUGUCCAGUCUCUCCAGAACCAACUUCUCCCCCUGAGAAAGAUGCUCGUGCUCACGCCUUCCUCCCAGGCUCGGGGAGGAUCGAACGGAAUCAGACCCACAGAGCACUCGGCAAAUGCAGGAUCACCAUAAAGUCCAGCCCUCGGCAUGUCGGCUCCGGGCCCUCGGCCCCCACUGCUGUUGGCUCUUUUCCUCCAAGGAACGAAGCCAGAGAAGGGGCCCAUGAAGAAGCAGCCGCGUUUACCUGGGCUAAAUCUCAGGUGUGCAGUGAUGGCCAGCAAGGGCGGUCACCCCCCAUGACGAAGGCCAGUCACCCCCAGUCACCCCCAACAGUGAGAGAUGGUCACCCCCCACCACGAGGGCCAGUCACCCCCCACGGCGAGGGCCAAGGCUCUGGACGCUGGAUGGAAGGCAGGGGGACCCACCUCGAAGCCCCGCUCUGACUCUCUGGGCCCAGGUGGGUCACCAUCUCUGAGGUUCGGCGCCCACCGGAACAGGGGAGGGAGAAUAAUCGCGGCCCCCCUCGGUCACUGCCAGGAGCGAAUGGGAUAAACCAGGGCCGAGGGGUCGCCCCCCACCACCGCGCUCCCCGCAAGGCCGGGGCCAGGGUAAAGUCUGACUGGGAGGCGUGUCACACAACAGUAAGAACACAGAGACAGAUAAUGUAACUAUAUGGUUUUCCAAGUCACCAGGGCCGUCCACCAGGGACCCCGAGGAGCCACCGCCAGUCACUCAGAGGGUGAAUCCCCUCCUGGGGUCAUGAUCAUGAUGGCGGGAGAGCAGAUGGCGGGAAGGGGAAUCGGAGGAAACACGAGAGCAGAGCUGGAAGGAUGGCACUCGGGGCUCAGAAUCACAGACUUGGGGCCAGGGAAGAAGGCUCCCCACACUCCCGGAGGCAGGAGCUCCUCCUCGGGGUCAGGGGUCUGUGCCCAGCUCCACUUCUACCAUUUGGGGAAACUGAGGCACAGAGCUCACACAGGUGGGAAGCCGUGCCGGGGGUCAGACCCACAGCCUUUGGCGCCAAAGCCGGCUCUUCCCCUGCCCCUGAGCAAACACUGGUUGGUGGAGGAUGGAAUCACACAGGAGCCCCCAGAGCCUCCUGACGGUGUGGUCGGCACUGAGGGCCCGGGGCCAGCCCAGAAAGAGCCCGGGUCUGCCCGGCAGCCGCUGCGCCCUGAGCCUGCCGGGGUGGGAGAGGUCUGAAGCUUUUAGGGGAGGGGAGAGGCAGAAGACCCGGGCAAAAUAAAGUGGCUGCUGGGCUUUCACCUGCUCCUCCCCAAAGCCUGCCUUCCUUUCCCUCUCUCUCCCCACAGGCCCUUUCUCUGUCUCCACUGACUUUCAUUGGCUGAGACUUUGAAAAUAAAGUGUUUCCCCUUAUUUCUCAUUUUAAAAUAAAGGAAGAAACCUUUCUCUUAAAAAAGAUGAGGACUCAGGACCGAGGAAUCGCCCACGAUUCUUCCUAAACUCAUCCAGAGCUCCCUGCAGCUUCUCCGGCCAAUGAGGCAGACUGGAAAACGGAGGCAGAGAGCAGGAGGAGAAAAGGAGCGGCUGCAUCGAGCGACUUAGAAGAUGUUCUGUACCCGUCGGCUAUGGUGACAACGAAGGCCGUGACCCUCGUGUGGAUCUGUCCUGGGCGUGACUGUAACUAAGGGCUGAGACCAGACACGAAUUAGGGCACAAAUGUCCACUUGAAAAGGCUUGUGGGAGGGGGGAGAGCGUGGCGGGCCUGAAACCCGUGGGAUGGUGGGCAGCCUCAUCGAGAGGCCUUCUUGUACGUAGGAAAUAAAAUAAACACAAAUCAAUACAAUAAUAUAAUAAACAAACAUAACUGUUA